GAACGACGCUGGCGGCGUGCUUAACACAUGCAAGUCGAGCGAAGUAUUCAAGAUAGAUUUCUUCGGAUUGAAGUCUUGAAUAUCUUAGCGGCGAACGGGUGAGUAACGCGUGAGAAACCUGCCUUUCACAAAGGGAUAGCCUCGGGAAACUGGGAUUAAUACCUUAUGAUACUUACAUUUCACAUGAGAAGUAAGUUAAAGCGCAAAGCGGUGAAAGAUGGUCUCGCGUCCCAUUAGUUAGUUGGUGAGGUAACGGCUCACCAAGACCGCGAUGGGUAGCCGGCCUGAGAGGGUGAACGGCCACACUGGAACUGAGACACGGUCCAGACUCCUACGGGAGGCAGCAGUGGGGAAUAUUGCACAAUGGAGGAAACUCUGAUGCAGCGACGCCGCGUGAGUGAAGAAGGCCUUCGGGUCGUAAAACUUUGUCCUAGGGGACGAUAAUGACGGUACCCUAGGAGGAAGCCCCGGCUAACUACGUG
rnacentral:rRNA from 1 species